rnacentral:rRNA from 1 species
UACGUAGGGGGCAAGCGUUGUCCGGAUUUAUUGGGCGUAAAGCGCUCGCAGGUGGUUCAUUGCGUCGUGCGUGAAAGACCCCGGCUCAACUGGGGAGGGUCGUGCGAAACGGGUGAACUAGAGGCCAGUAGGGGGAUGCGGAAUUCCGGGUGAGUGGUGGAAUGCGUAGAGAGUCCGGACGGAACACCGGUGGUGAAGACGGUCUCCUGGGCCGAGGGCCGACGCUGAGGCGCGAGAGCGUGGGGAGCGAACCGG